UUUUUGGUUUUGUCGGUUGAUCUUUGUUGUCCUAGAGUUUGUUGGACUAGUUAAAUUAGUAUUGCGACCCUAUCCACCUCUCACAUUGAGGACGUACGGUUGGUUGGUGGGUAGGUUUUUUUGCCAGCCAUAGCCAAACUGUGAAGUCAAAAAUAUCUCCACAUCUCACAUGUCACAUGAUUAGUGAUUACCACAUUGAUUGGCUCGUGUUUCUAGCACGAUUUUUGCUUCGUAAGAGGCGCGGAUACAAAAAAAAAUCGUUUCUAUUCGGUGGAUGCCAAAUAUUGUAAAGAAUUGUAAUCUAAUACAUAACCCUAAAUCAUAAACUAUAAUUAAUGGAUCCAGUUAUAUAUACCCAGUACAUGCAUAAGAAAGAUUAUUUUGUUUCUUUACGAAAUAUCAUUUUAAAAUCUUUAAUCGGAAUGACUUCUCUUCUGAUUUAUGCUGUGUAUCGGGUCGGGUCUUUGUUUAUAUUUAUGUGUGGAGGGUCCAAGGGGAUUAACGUAGAUGUAGAAAGAGUCAACGUUUGGUGUAUUAUGUGGCAGAGGAGCUCUCUCAGCUUUCUCCUGUAGUCCUAUAUAUACACACACCAGUCUCCACCCCCUUCGUCACUCACUUCACACACUCCAUAUGCUUACACAUGUUCAUGCAUAUAGACUUAUACAUUAUGAUUCUGCAUAUAUACAUUCACACACAUAGGUUUGGGAGUGAUGCAGGUUGUUGACAGAAGAUAGAGAGCACUAAGGAUGACAUGCAAGUACAUACAUAUAUAUCAUCACACCGCAAGUGGAUAUAAGGAAAUUCAAGAAAGAGAGGAAAAAAGAGCCUGCAUCUCUACUCUUUUGUGCUCUCUAUACUUCUGUCAAUACCAUUAUUUAUUCCUCUCUCUCUUACCUAUAUACGUGCACAUAUUACACAUAUACAUAAUACAUCACAUAUAUGCAUAAUACUAACACUACAUGGAUGCAUGCAUCUCACAUAUACUUAGGUGUUUUCUUUUUCAUCAGUAAACACUAAUAUCUUGCCACUACAUCUCAGUUAAAAGUUUGUUUUUGUUUCGUUAUAAUUUUUUUCCUAUCAUAUCUUAUUAUGUACAUAUAGACGAAUGUUUAACAUCCAAUACUUGAUAGUAUAUCCAGUGUGCUUAUAAAAUUUGAUACUUUAAUUGAGUAUAUAAAUAUAUCAACUCGCAUUGACUUAUCAACUUUUUGCAGGUUGCAGUUUAGUUUCUUUUGUCUAAUGGAGUCUAAAAGCUUACUUCUUGAUCGCCGGUUUAUAGCUUUAGUUUAAUUAUGUUAUUUUCGGGUAAGCCUAAUUAAGCAUCCAAUUUUUUUUCAGAUAAAUCUAUAUUAUUAUUUGUGAACUGGUUUUUCUUACUUGUCAUAUUCUCGUUAUUUUGAAGUUUUUACUAAACAUAUAUAUAAUUGAUUUUUUAAACACUGACAUAUAUAAUUGAUUCAUUUUAGUUUAUAAGGUUUGAGUUAAAUAGAAAUAUUUUUUUAGUUAUCGUAUAUUUUGUUAAUAGGUGUCAUUAUAAACUCUGAUGAAGAGAAAAUUCAUAUAUAAUGCAAUUAAUCUAAUUUUUGUAGGAAUCCUCGGAAAAAAAAAUAUCCAAUUAUCUAUACUAUUAUUUGAUGAAGAGAGAUUUGCUUUCAUAGGCUUCAUUGAUGAUUGGGAUUUGAAGAAGUUUUAUUGAUUGACACGGAAACCACAAAUCAAGAUGACGCUGUUCAACCUGUUUUUCUUAAUCAGGUCUUCCAAGCAUAGUUCAGUUUCGGUUCAGAACAUUGUAAUUCAUCAAGGCAAUGAGUUAACCAACAAUGACAACAAUGUGCAAGAGAUUACUUAGUGUACAUUCUACAGAACAUGUUAUUUGGACAGUUUAUUUGCGUUUACAUAAGCGUUUGCGUUCUCAGACGCAGCCAAGGUUGUUUCAUAUAUGGAAACGCAAGCUCAGCUAAGGUUGUUCUCAUCACAUUACAACAAACACACUCCGUUAGUAUUACAACUCUUGAAACUCGACGAACACACACAAGAAAACCUAGAGAACAUUCUACAGAGAAUGAACCGCUGAUUCGAUUUCACCGUCCAUAGACUCAGCUAUUUCUCUGAACGACUCGCUAUGGAGAUGCCUAGUGAAACUAGUAGUCGUGUCCACGAAACAAAGAAUCGACGACAUCAUACAGCAUGUUCUGAUUAAUCCCCUUUGAUUUGUUUGCGUCUCUGAUAAGAGUCAUUUCUUUCAAACAAGAAUCGUUUUGUUUGUGUAAUAUUCUGUCUUUUGAGUUUACACAUUACAGAGCUUUCUCAUUACCAGAGAAAGCUAAUCUACAGGAAUCAUCUUUCUCUUAA